rnacentral:misc_RNA from 1 species
AACACUGUUAACCUGCGGUACCUGCGGAAGGAUCAUUAAAAAGAGUGUGUACCCCUCUGUAAAAUGAGUGGGUUACCUCCCGUCCUUUGUUGACCUCUUAGGAGGUUAUUUUGAACUUUCUGCUUCGGUGGGGUUAAACCUACCGGAACACCCUCAAAUUCUUAUCAUUUAAAAAUUGUUCAGUCUGAUUUUUGUUAAUAAAAACAAAAAACUUUCAGCAAUGGAUCUCAGAUCGGAAGA